AUUUGUCAAAAGCUAUGGCGGCAGUUUUUGAAACAUCGAUAAAAUUUUAGAAUCGUGUUGAUAUUUUUACCAAAAUUUGCAUACAGGAAAUUUCAUCAAAAAGUUUUAUACCUUAUAAAGCAUCGUUUAAUACUUAUUCGUGAUAAAUGUGUAUUUUUAAAGUACGGACAUAAGAAUCGAAGCCAUCAACAGCUCUAUUGAGACGUUCAACGUGCGAAAAAAUGUUGCCAGAGGUUUAAGAAGACACUGUUCGAAAAUUCUACUGUGAGGCACAGUAUUGUAAUAUGACUAAUAGUUUUCUACUUUAUUUAAUGUAGUUAUUGUUAUGAAUAAUGUUUUUCUGCUUUUCUAUAUGCUUACCCUGCCUACUUAAGUAAGUGUGCUAAAUAAACGUACAUUCCAUCCAUGACUUUUGACAUGACAGUGUCAAUAACUAUUGUAAAAUGCAAAAGCUAUUUCAUACGUUUUAUUACAAAUAAUUAAAAUGUAUCUGUAUUUUGUAUCUACUAAGUUGAAUAUAUUAUUAUAUACCUAUUUAACUGAAAAAACUGCAAAAAAGGGCACAACUUUCGUAAAUUAUGUCUGCAUAGAAAUAAAAAUAAAAAGCUUUUUAUGGCACAAUCAAAUAUAGGUACACUAAUAGUGAACUUAAUACUUAAUAUUUAUCAGCUAACACUGGUACUUAGCAAGUGAAUUUUGUGAUAGUGCCUACAAUUUAAUAAAAUACUGCUAAUAAUAAAGUGUCCAUUGAUAUUUAUGUAAUCAACAUACACAUCAGUAAACAUACACAACAUAGAUCUGCGCACAAAAUAAUUAGCAUAAAUAUUGUUAAAGUUUAUUAAUAACAAUCUAAAAUGUUUGAUUAUAAAAUUUAUUGAAAAUUUAUACCUUUAAUAUCAAGGAAUAGGGAUCCGAGUUUUUAGAAUUAAAACUUGACAAGUCAUGUACAGACUCAGUCGACUUUGUGUGAUGAGCGAUUUCACUAUGAACACAAAAGAUAGGUAGCACUAACCUUGAAUGAGUAGGUAGAUACACUACUCAUCAGUUUUAGCUGAUUAGGUCUGCUUAUAGAUAAUAUCUUAACAUGAUCUAUUUCAAUGUAUUUGUAACAUCAAUAGAGCAUUUAAUUAAAGAUUUUUUUAUUUUUGUUUUGUUUUUUUAUUUUAUUUUUUCCAUAUCUUUAUCAAUAUUUCAGCCGUAUUUACAGUUUUCACUUAAUCACCGACGAAAUACAUUGAAAUUUUAACAAUAAUGGAUACCUGGUUUAUGCAAAAUUGAAGUUAAAAAUUUUCACUAAUGGCGGCGAUUCACUAUCAAAUAAGUUCGGACAACUACUUAUGGUUUAGAAUUAAAUAUAAAUAAAUAAACGUGAUGUGUAA